rnacentral:rRNA from 1 species
GAUGAACGCUGGCGGCGUGCCUAAUACAUGCAAGUCGAGCGAACGGACGAGAAGCUUGCUUCUCUGAUGUUAGCGGCGGACGGGUGAGUAACACGUGGAUAACCUACCUAUAAGACUGGGAUAACUUCGGGAAACCGGAGCUAAUGCCGGAUAAUAUUUUGAACCGCAUGGUUCAAAAGUGAAAGACGGUCUUGCUGUCACUUAUAGAUGGAUCCGCGCUGCAUUAGCUAGUUGGUAAGGUAACGGCUUACCAAGGCAACGAUGCAUAGCCGACCUGAGAGGGUGAUCGGCCACACUGGAACUGAGACACGGUCCAGACUCCUACGGGAGGCAGCAGUAGGGAAUCUUCCGCAAUGGGCGAAAGCCUGACGGAGCAACGCCGCGUGAGUGAUGAAGGUCUUCGGAUCGUAAAACUCUGUUAUUAGGGAAGAACAUAUGUGUAAGUAACUGUGCACAUUUUGACGGUACCUAAUCAGAAAGCCACGGCUAACUACGUG